rnacentral:tRNA from 1 species
GGAGACUUAGCUCAGUGGUAGAGCGCUUGCCUAGCAAGCGCAAGGCCCUGGGUUCGGUCCCCAGCUCCG